AGUGAACGCUGGCGGUAGGCCUAACACAUGCAAGUCGAACGGCAGCACAGUAAGAGCUUGCUCUUACGGGUGGCGAGUGGCGGACGGGUGAGGAAUACAUCGGAAUCUACUUUUUCGUGGGGGAUAACGUAGGGAAACUUACGCUAAUACCGCAUACGACCUACGGGUGAAAGCAGGGGAUCUUCGGACCUUGCGCGAUUGAAUGAGCCGAUGUCGGAUUAGCUAGUUGGCGGGGUAAAGGCCCACCAAGGCGACGAUCCGUAGCUGGUCUGAGAGGAUGAUCAGCCACACUGGAAGUGAGACACGGUCCAGACUCCUACGGGAGGCAGCAGUGGGGAAUAUGGGACAAUGGGCGCAAGCCUGAUCCAGCCAUACCGCGUGGGUGAAGAAGGCCUUCGGGUUGUAAAGCCCUUUUGUUGGGAAAGAAAAGCAGCAGGUUAAUACCCCGCUGUUCUGACGGUACCCAAAGAAUAAGCACCGGCUAACUUCGUG
rnacentral:rRNA from 1 species